rnacentral:ncRNA from 2 species
UACAUUUGUCGCAGUUACGGUUGCAAGUAUUGAUACUAGAUACUUGCAUUAAAAGGGAAUCCGGUGAAAAUCCGGAACAGUACCCGCUGCUGUAAUCCUGCUGUUGAUUUAUUCAAUGGCUGUGUUCAGGCAACAAUGCCACUGUCGAAAUUCUGGAGAUCAGAGUAAAGAUGGGAAGGCGCCUGAGCCGGGAGAGUCAGAAGACCUGCCAUAGCUAACAACUUAAU